GACGAACGCUGGCGGCGUGCCUAAUACAUGCAAGUCGAGCGAACAGAUGAGAAGCUUGCUUCUCUGAUGUUAGCGGCGGACGGGUGAGUAACACGUGGGUAACCUACCUAUAAGACUGGGAUAACUCCGGGAAACCGGGGCUAAUACCGGAUAAUAUUUUGAACCGCAUGGUUCAAUAGUGGAAGACGGUUUCGGCUGUCACUUAUAGAUGGACCCGGGCCGUAUUAGCUAGUUGGUAAGGUAACGGCUUACCAAGGCGACGAUACGUAGCCGACCUGAUAGGGUGAUCGGCCACACUGGAACUGAGACACGGUCCAGACUCCUAAGGGAGGCAGCAGUAGGGAAUCUUCCGCAAUGGGCGAAAGCCUGACGGAGCAACGCCGCGUGAGUGAUGAAGGUCUUCGGAUCGUAAAACUCUGUUGUUAGGGAAGAACAAAUUUGUUAGUAACUGAACAAGUCUUGACGGUACCUAACCAGAAAGCCACGGCUAACUACGUGCCAGCCGCCGCCGUAA
rnacentral:rRNA from 1 species